GGAAAGUUGAUACGAAAGUGUUUGAA
rnacentral:snRNA from 1 species